rnacentral:pre_miRNA from 1 species
AGAGAGCGUAUUUUUUCAUUAUUUAUGUGCAACGUUUAACUGUUUGUGUUAUUUAAAAAGUUUUAUAAAUAGUAUUUUUAUUAUUAUUGAAUGAUAAAGCAUUAAUAGUUUUGUAUGUAUGACUAUUUUUUAAUUUUUUAAUAAUUUUUUCAAAUAAAACGAACUGUUAAAGUUUGGACACGGAAAUCCACAAAUGUGUUUAAA